rnacentral:rRNA from 1 species
CAUCUAAGCGCGAAGCCCCCCUCAAGAUGACCAAUCCCGCUCGGUAAAACGAGGUAAGACCCCUUGAAGACGACAAGGUAGAUCGGUCCGGUGUGGAAGCACGGCGACGUGUGGAGCAGACGGAUACGAAUCGGUCGAGGGCUUAUCCUA